rnacentral:lncRNA from 1 species
CCAAGAAGAUAAUUCUAUUGGUUCCCAAAACCAAGUGUAAAGGAUCACACCCACCACCAAAUCAAGUGAAUCGAAGUUAGAAUUGAUGAACACUAAACAUCAAGUACAAAAUCAAAACACAAAAACCCAAUUAAACAAAACUCACCAUACUGUUCACAAUUCAAUCUUCAACUAUCUACCUGUUAAAAAACACAAAUUUCCAAUCAUAAAUUGCAUUGACACAAAAUCAAGAUCUUCAACCCUCAAAAUACACAAAUCAAGAUCAUUGGGUCUCUAAUAUGACACUCAAAAUCAAUUUUUUCCUAAACUAUGAAAAGAUCGUAGUUAUCCCCUCCAAAACCCUAAAAAACAAAAUCAAAACGAAAUUGAAGAAAUACCUGUAGCGUGCGAUCACGCGGAUAAGUUUUGAGAAUGCAAAUCAAUGAAAGGAAAGAGUAGAGGAAUUGAAGAAAAGCAUGAUUUGAAGUAAAUCAAUAGCUGAGUUAACCCUAACAGUAAACACGUCGGAGGAAGAUGGAGUUGCGGUGGCUUCUUCUCUUUCUCCUGAAUUUCCAAUGUUUAAACGCCUUGUCGUUUUUAACUCAGUGUGAAAAUGUGAAUGCUUUUCUUUUUUCUUUUCCAAAUUGAAAGAAAGUUAUUUUUUU